GAGGGCAAAGGCUGGCUACAGAAAGAAGACGGAGGAGGAUGGGCGUCGUUCUCAGCAGUCUCUCCCUCCGCCAUUAAUUUGUGAAGCGGGUAAAAGUGGGGGUUGAAGCAGAGAGAGAGAGAGGGUCGAGGAAGGAGGAGGAUGCCGGGCGUGCCUUAAUCCAGGGAGAAAUAAAGGCCUCAAUAUGGGUUGCUGUGAGUUUGGCCAUGUUCCAGAAGCAUUCUCUCCUGACGUUUCGCCCACAUCUAUGGCAGGCAUACUCAGAGGUUGUGAGCCCCUACAGCAAAAUAAAUGAACCAAACCCAACAAAGUCCUUCUCCUUUUGCUGGACUGUACCUCGCUCUGCUGCGGAGGCACCUGGGCAUGGCAAGCGAUCAUGAGAGUGCUGUGUGGGAACGGCCAAUGCUGGGAAGCAGAAUACCACAGAGAGGUCACCUCCAAGCCCACCUCCUCGGCAACUUCCCGGCGCACAGUUUCUUCCAGAGUUUCACCUAGGAGCAGAGAGCAAAGGAAAGGAAACGUUGACAUCCCGAUAAAGGGUUAUCAAUGUUGUUUGUGUAUAGGCACUGAAAUUUAUCUCAUGACAACCCAAAAUGAAGACAAGAACCCUUGCAUGAAGUGAAGAACAACAACAACCAGGUUUGUUUCCAUUUCUACAUUUCUUUCUCCUCAGAGCUAUCAUAGAACCACGGAGUUGGAAGAGACCACAAGGGCUGUCCAGUCCAACUCCAUUCAGAUGGCCACCCACAGAUGACACCCUGACAGAUGGCCAUCCAACUUCUGCUUCAAAACUUCCAGAGAAGGAGACUACACCACACUCCAAGACAGUGUCUACACUGUAGAAUUAAUGCAGUUUGACACAACUUAAACUGCCAGGACUCAAUCUAGCAAACCAUGUGUGUUGUAGUUUCACAACAUCUUUAAGGAGCUGCAGUGGCGCAGUGGGUUAAACCCUUGUUCCAGCUGACCUGAAGGUUGCCAGUUCAAAUCCACGAGACAGGAUGAGCUCCCAGCUCUAGCUUGUGGGGACAUGAGAGAAGCCUCCCAGCUAACACAUCCGGAUAUCCCCUGGGCAAUAUCUCUGUAGAUGGCCAAUUCUCCCACACCAGAAGCAAUUUGCAGAAUGUUCUCAAGUUGCUUCUGACACAAUAAAAAAACACCCCAGUAUCUUUAACCUUUUCUGCACAGGAGUGCCGGUGCCUCACCAAAGCUACAACUUCCAUGAUUCCACAGCAUUGAACCAUGAAAGUUAAAAUGGUGUCAAACUGCAUUAAUUCUACAGUGUAGAUGCACCCUGGACUCUCUUUUCCCCUCUUCCCUCUCCAUUCUUUAUGCCUUGUGUUUUGUGUCCCCUUGGGAAGAUAGGGUGGAAUACAAAUAAAGUUUACUAUUACUUU